GGAGGGUGCAAGCGUUAAUCGGAAUUACUGGGCGUAAAGCGCACGCAGGCGGUUGGAUAAGUUAGAUGUGAAAGCCCCGGGCUCAACCUGGGAAUUGCAUUUAAAACUGUCCAGCUAGAGUCUUGUAGAGGGGGGUAGAAUUCCAGGUGUAGCGGUGAAAUGCGUAGAGAUCUGGAGGAAUACCGGUGGCGAAGGCGGCCCCCUGGACAAAGACUGACGCUCAGGUGCGAAAGCGUGGGGAGCAAACAGGAUUAGAUACCCUGGUAGUCCACGCCGUAAACGAUGUCGAUUUGGAGGCUCUGUCCUUGAGACGUGGCUUCCGGAGCUAACGCGUUAAAUCGACCGCCUGGGGAGUACGGCCGCAAGGUUA
rnacentral:rRNA from 1 species